AAUUUCUUUAUGAACUUGUAUACAAUGUAUUCAAUGAAGCAAUGAGUAUCAGAUGCGAUAACUAAACGUAGUCACUGAUAAACUGUUCAGCAAUUCACAAAACAGCUCUGAAAAGGGUGGUGUCUUCACCAUGUGACCAAGUUUUUACUUCUUUGAUGAUCUUUCAGGAAGAUAUAAAGAGUUCACCUCUUCCUUGAUACUGUCUUUUCAGACAGUGCUUUUUCAAUCGUUGUGUCCAUGUGUUGGGACCAUUUCCACUUACAAUGACACCUCAAUUGACCUUCAAAGCCCUGAAGAAAGUUUUUGAACCAGCUGGCAGUGCAUUUGCAGCCUUUUUGUGUUGGAUUAUCUUCCAGUAUGUGUUUAAGAUGGAUUUUAAAUGUCCUUGUGACAUCAAUGAAAAUACUCAUGUGUGUGCAGUUUACAUGAGUUUGCCCACCAUCUCACUUUUCAUUGUAAUGAUGAUUAUUGACAAGCACAUAAGGAAUAUUUUUUGCAGUAAUGGAACAGUAAAACCAUGGAAGAAAUGGAAGUGCAUUGUUUUUUUUAUGUCAAUAAUUAAUGCACUCUCUGUUGCUUGUCUGUGGAUAAUUACAGUACUGAUGGAUGGAGACUGGUAUGUGUGCCUUAAAACAACAAAAGAUAACUUGAAAACUUCUGAGCAAACCUUUUGCAAAAUGACAAAAACCGCUGCUGAAAAUGCAGAUAUAAAAGUCCACGAAAGUAUUUCACGAGAGAUUGCCAUUAUGGUUUUAUUUGGAGCAUGUAUCGUUUGGGCCUUCACAACUAUAACACGAUCUCACUGCAUGCAACCACUUGCAUAUCAGUAUAAUACGUUUCUGCUGGAGGAGACCAACCACUAUAUAACAAAGGAAUUUAAAAAAAUGGCUAAAGAUAAGGCAAAGAAAAGGGCAAAGGAACAAAUAGAGGCUUUUUUAGAUGUUUCAGAAACACAGCAACAGCAACCGGAGACUUCACCACAGUCUGCAUCUGACCAAGCAAAUGCAGAGCAACAAGAUCGAUCUUCAUCCCUACAUAGUUCAUCAUCAGAGCAUUUUGAGGAAACAGAUGAAACAAAACCUCUUUAUAAGAAAAGUGAAGAGAAAAGUCCAUUACAUCAGUCUAAUUGA
ensembl:lncRNA